ensembl:snRNA U6 U6 spliceosomal RNA
GUGCUCACUUUGACAGCUUCCCAGGACUAAAACUGGGACCAUACAGAGAAGAUUAGCAUGGCCUCUGCACAAGGAUAACAUGCAAAUUUGUGAAACAUUUUGUAUUUUU